rnacentral:tRNA from 1 species
GGAAUUGUAGCUCAGUGGUAGAGCACUUGCCUCGUAUCCAUGAGGCACUGGGUUUGAUCCUCAGUACCA